GUCCUGAAAUGUACGUUGUGUUACCUGAAGUUUUGACCGAACAUAUUUUUAUUGGGAGUCCGGAGUUUCUUGAUUGCGCAAAUGCCUCAUCCUUAUACGGAUAGGGGACUUGCAAGAUUGAGAAUAGAACACCCACCUGCUGCGUGCGGGAUCAAAACAAAGGAUUAAAAGCGACGGCAUCAUUGGGACU
rnacentral:other from 1 species